AUUGAACGCUGGCGGAAUGCUUUACACAUGCAAGUCGAACGGCAGCACGGACUUCGGUCUGGUGGCGAGUGGCGAACGGGUGAGUAAUGUAUCGGAACGUGCCCAGUCGUGGGGGAUAACGUAGUGAAAAUUACGCCAAUACCGCAUACGAUCUAUGGAUGAAAGCGGGGGAUCGCAAGACCUCGCGCGAUUGGAGCGGCCGAUAUCAGAUUAGGUAGUUGGUGGGGUAAAGGCCCACCAAGCCAACGAUCUGUAGCUGGUCUGAGAGGACGACCACCCACAGUGGACCUGAGUCACGGUCCAGACGCCUACGGGAGGCAGCAGUGAGGAAUUUUGGACAAAGGGCGAAAGCCUGAUCCAGCCAUUCCGCGUGAAGGAUGAAGGCCCUCGGGUUGUAAACUGAUUUUGUACAGAACGAAAAGGUUUCUACUAAUACUAGGAGCUCAUGACGGUACUGUAAGAAUAAGCACCGGCUAACUACGUGCCAGCAGCCGCCGUAA
rnacentral:rRNA from 1 species